rnacentral:tRNA from 1 species
AACGCUAAGCCGGAAUAACGGGUAACUUUGAUGUAGUUAAUUAUGAGUAAUAUCUAGUGUUU